rnacentral:rRNA from 1 species
UACGUAGGGUGCGAGCGUUGUCCGGAAUUAUUGGGCGUAAAGAGCUCGUAGGCGGUCUGUCGCGUCGAAUGUGAAAAACCCGGGGCUCAACUCCGGGCUUGCAUUCGAUACGGGCAGGCUAGAGUUCGGUAGGGGAGUCUGGAAUUCCUGGUGUAGCGGUGAAAUGCGCAGAUAUCAGGAGGAACACCGGUGGCGAAGGCGGGACUCUGGGCCGAUACUGACGCUGAGGAGCGAAAGCGUGGGGGAGCGAACA